rnacentral:rRNA from 1 species
CAGUCGCCGCGGGAAUACGGAGGAUCCGAGCGUUAUCCGGAAUUAUUGGGUUUAAAGGGUGCGUAGGCGGAUAGAUAAGUCAGUGGUGAAAGACGGUGGCUCAACCAUCGCAGUGCCGUUGAUACUGUUUAUCUUGAAUAUGGAUGAGGUAGGCGGAAUGUGGCAAGUAGCGGUGAAAUGCAUAGAUAUGCCACAGAACACCGAUUGCGAAGGCAGCUUACCAAGGCAAAAUUGACGCUCAGGUGCGAAAGCGUGGGGAGCAAACAGGAUUAGAUACCCGUGUAGUCCCUGUCUCUUAUAC